AUCCUUUCGUAGUUCAUAAGCGUGAUGAUUAGGCGUCUGCACCACAGUGUGACUGUGCUUCCCUCAAAGCUUGUUACAGCCUCGGCACAUUACCCAUCUGACA